ACGGGUGCGUAACACGUGGGCAAUCUGCCCUCUGAUGGGGAAUAACCCGCCGAAAGGCGGGCUAAUACCGCAUAAAAUUCCUUGGACUCAUGUUCGAGGAUUCAAAGGCGUAAGUCGUCGGAGGAGGAGCCCGCGCACGAUUAGCUAGUUGGUAGGGUAAUGGCCUACCAAGGCUUUGAUCGUUAGCUGGUCUGAGAGGAUGGCCAGCCACACUGGAACUGAGACACGGUCCAGACUCCUACGGGAGGCAGCAGUGGGGAAUCUUGCACAAUGGGCGAAAGCCUGAUGCAGCGACGCCGCGUGGGGGAUGAAGCAUUUCGGUGUGUAAACCCCUUUCGAUCCGGACGAAUACCUCGCAAGAGGGGUGACGGUACGGAUAUAAGAAGCCCCGGCUAACUACGUGCCAGCAGCCGCGGUAAGACGUAGGGGGCCAGCGUUGUUCGGAAUUACUGGGUGUAAAGGGUUCGUAGGCGGUGUGGCAAGUUGGGAGUGAAAUCUCUGGGCUCAACCCAGAGGCUGCUUCCAAAACUGCUGUGCUUGAGUGUGAGAGAGGCUCGUGGAAUUGCAGGUGUAGCGGUGAAAUGC
rnacentral:rRNA from 1 species